rnacentral:rRNA from 1 species
GUGCCAGCCGCCGCGGUAAUACGUAGGGUGCGAGCGUUAAUCGGAAUUACUGGGCGUAAAGCGUGCGCAGGCGGUUUUGUAAGACAGAUGUGAAAUCCCCGGGCUUAACCUGGGAACUGCAUUUGUGACUGCAAGGCUAGAGUACGGCAGAGGGGGGUAGAAUUCCACGUGUAGCAGUGAAAUGCGUAGAUAUGUGGAGGAAUACCGAUGGCGAAGGCAGCCCCCUGGGUCGAUACUGACGCUCAUGCACGAAAGCGUGGGGAGCAAACAGGAUUAGAUACCCUAGUAGUCC